AGGGAAUUUGGGUGUGGGAGGGGGUUCCGACCUGGGGCAGGGUUUCUGGGUGCGAGCUCCGGCCAGGCGGCGCUUACCUCAGCCAGCUCCUGGUCAAUGGCACACCGGUGCUAAUGCAGGCUCCUGACCCCUGGUCUCCCUCCGCUGGCAGGCUCUGAGCAAGGCCUGCCCAGAGAACAUGGAUGACGAGCUCUCGAUCCUGCUGACAGCACCCCCCAGCACAGACAAACUCCAGCACAUCUUGGAGGGUGGGAAACCGAGACACAGUUGGGACCUGUCUACACUACAGGUCUGUCGUGCGUUUGUAAUCUGCUGACCCCCACAUGUUGUUCAGAGCCUAUGGAUAACACAGCUCCUAAAGAAAACUGACGUCCCUGUUUCGAAGGUAAGAGCCUCCGAGAGGUUUGGAACCUAUUCAGUCUGAUGCAUCUGGCGCCAGCUGAAUUUUAGGCAUGGAAAACACUAGCUUAAGGUGGGCGAAUUUUAUUCCCCACCUGGGAUUUUGUCCCUUAGAAUCACUGGGGACAUUAGGGUUUGUCCUU